rnacentral:lncRNA from 1 species
AGAUUCCCGUUGAUCCCUUUUCAUUUCAUGGCUUUCAGCAAUCUUCUGAGAUACAGCUCAUGCUGAAGCUUGGCCGCCUAAUAUGUGUUGUUGAGUAAUAAUGUGUUAUAUGGAAUUCAAGAUGUACGUUGAAUAUGUUGAUUCAUAUCAGUGUUGUCGAUUUAACUAAACCAGGGACAAAGCUGAAGGACUUUGUCGCAGCAAUGCAGUCACCUGAUGUCCAAUCUGCAAUCGCCAAACUCCGUACUGAGGUUGAAGAUUACGCGAAGCAGUUCCCAACAAUUGGCUUUGAGAAAGAAACCAUGAAAUACAAGAACUGAACAAAGGAACGCUGCUACAGAAGGUACAGUAACCCGAACUCUUACCGUUUAUAGUUUGAGCUUCCCUUUACUUACUGGAUGCUAACCUUUGAGUGUUGUAAAUGGAACAGGUUAAAGGGGGUUUUCAAAUGAGUGUUGUAUCUUCAAGUAGAAGGUAAGCAAAGAGAUCCAUCCACCCCCAUCAAAAUCAUGGAGCGAUUUUAUUGUCUGGAGAUGCAAAUAUGUAAAGCCGUUCGCAUAUUAAGGAUGCCCUGUCUGUAAACCUGUAAAAAACCAACCUACUUGGUGGCGUCUUUACUACUUUGAUGCAUGUACUACUGCUGCAUAUACUUUGCUAUCAAAAGCUACGUUUGGUGAUAUGCAUAAUUACAAGAAUAAAUCAAUCCCCCUGACUUUCAUUCCCAACAGGAAGUCAUUUCUGUUAAGCAAUUUCGCUAAUUUUACAUAAAACUUAAUUCACAAAUCAACAUCAUGAAGAAUAAUUUAAAACAAAAAUCCUAAACUACCCCUUUAAUUUGUUAACCUAAUCUGAAGUGUCCAAAUGAAAUUCACCGGUCUCUUCAACUUUUUUUCUUUUAUCGAUCGUUUGGGUAGGUGAUUUUAAUGGAUUAUUUGAAGGUGAUUUGUACCUCAAAAGAGAUUUCAUCUUAAAUCACCCAUUUGAGAAAUAAAAAAGAGGAAGGUUGGAGAGAUUUGAAAUCACCUUGUGGGUUCAGAGAGAAUUUCGUAGAUGAUUUUAAAUUACCUAGAAGCGGUAAAUAUUUCAAAAAAGAAAGAGAAAAUUUGAGAAAUUUAACCAAAAUUACCCUUUUAUUUCUUUUGUAAGUGAUUACCAGAGCAGAGAUCCAGAGGGAGGGUUCCGGCAAGCAGAGAUCUGGAUGCUCGCCGAUGAACUUCAGUUAUUGUUUCGCGAAGAUCGUUUCUGAAUAGGUUUAGGAGAGUUAAGUCCUUGAGCCUGGUGGUCGAUUCCAUGUUACGAGCUUACGACAACAACCUUCGGGCUAUUAGGCAAGAGAACUCCAAACCUUCCGAAGACAUUAGUUUGGAUCGUAAAUGGUGGUCGAGUGGUUGUGGUGGUGGAAGAAAGAGAGACAGGUUAGAGCUAUUGAUUCACAGAGGAAGAUUAC